AGCGCAAUAGUCUCCGCUGCCCGCUGGGCCCGCCCCUUGGUUCUUUUACAUAGGCUCUCCUGCUCUCCAAUCAGCUCGGCCUUUGCCCCUCGCGCGCGUCUCUCGCCGGGGGUUGCUGUGGCGACGGGCUAAACCAGAGGCUGUGUGUCGGCCGGCUUGUGUGAUCCUCUCAGGCGGGGAGGAGGACGAGGUGGCGCCGCCGCGCGCUCUUCAUUUUAGUCCUCGCGCCGCGGCGCAAGGUGCUGGUCGCUGCAGCGGCGGGAGGCGGAGCAGGCACAACAAAGGUAGAAGGGGAAAACAUCCCAGAUCAAGUCCUAACCAUUGGUCACUCAAGAAUUGCUUCUUUGCCAUAUCUGAUGUCUCUGCUGGAGAAAAGCAACCAAGGAGAAAUAAUUAAAGCUUGGGCAAAGAAAGCUCUUCUAGUCUGGAUGAGCAUCAGGUGAGAUAAUGAGCUGGUUUACCUUGAGAAAACCACAAGUAUCUUCUUCAUCCCUAUUGGAGAUGGUCUUCAUUGAGAUCAGGUGUACCUAGGCUACAAGAAUGAAUGCCUAGGUACUGCCUCCAGGUUGGGUAGGAUGACUGAAGGCCAUAUGCUGGGAGUCAAGAGCAGGUGAAGG
rnacentral:lncRNA from 1 species